rnacentral:lncRNA from 1 species
AAACACAUACUUCUCCAGCUUACUGUCCAUCAGAAGUUCUGGACUACAGCUCCCAUCAUGCCUCACUGUUGGCCAUGUUGGUGGUCAUUGGAGUCCAAAACAUCUGGAAUGCAUGAGAGGAAGAAAAGCUGCAUAAGAAUAUAUCUGUAGAUCCAAGAAGUAAGCCAAGGUCAAGAGUAUAAAUAUAAUCCAGAGAAUGCCAUUGUGUUCCUGUCCUGCUUGUAGAUUUGUCGCUAUGGGAACAGAAUGUUGGUCUUUGCUUUGAGCCAGAAGAGCUCUUCUUAUGUUCUUAUAGAUAGAUAAAAGCUCUGCAUGUCCUUUUCAUCAUCAAGUCAGGCUAAUAAAAAGAUAGCCUUCCCUGUGUUCUAACUUAGAUAUUUUCUGCUCUGAACACAGAUUACAGGCAAAGACAGCAGUAUUUCCUUUCCAUACAAAAUCCCUUAAAUGAGCUAUUCUUCUUGAAAUAUCUCACUGGUAAGCAGCCAGCCAAUCUUUAAUCACUUCACUCUUAUACAGUUAAGAAAAAAGUCAAAACUUGAGUUUUGAAUGCAAUUGGCCCAAGUAGAAAAAUUCUGAGGGCCUUAUUUUGAAAUGAAUCCAGCUCACAGGGGGUUCAAAAUGUCUGCAAUGGUUCUCAUCCUUUGCUCUUCCUUUCCCUGUAACAUUGGGCAGGCAAGAUUAAUAAUGAAUAUGAAAGCCAUUUCCUGGUAGUUUCCAUUGAGUCAGUUCUUCCUGUUGGCCAAUGAUUUGUUUUCCAUGCCAAAUAAAAAAUAAAAAAUCACAUUAUCAGCAUCUAUACAAAACUAAUUUCAUAUGCUUUUCCUUUCCUUAAAAAAUUAGCAGCACUGACUUUCAUACCAAUACUGUGUUUAAGUAAAUUCUUAAAUUUCUAUAGCAGUUCUCAGAAGGAUGCUUUGAAAGCAACAGUAUGUAGAGAUAUCUAUAUGUGUGAAACUGCCAUCACAGAUCCAACACCAGAGGGAGAGCUUUCCCAACACCUCACCUUCUAUCAAACACAUUAAUUUUCAAUAGUAGCAGGUCACACAUUCUGUGGUGAUGUCUUUCCUCUAAUAAGAUAUUAAGUGAUAACAUGUGUGAAUUAGGCCUCGAUCCAUAUCCACAUACAAAGAAACAGCCCUUUGGGCGCAUCUAUGGCUGGUCAAAAUGCACUUACAGACUGUCACUAUUUUCAGAUGGGAUUUAAUCACAUACCAGCUAAUUCAGGUUGCACAGUUUCAGUGGAUUGCAGGCUCUUGCAAAACAAACCCCACUUCCUCAAAAUAGUGGACUUUUUGUAAUAAGGGAAGUGACAGGAAAAUACAGUAGAAAAUGUAUGAUAAUGCUUUGAUGAAACAUCAUCUAACUUCCCUGCAAACAAGUCAGGCUGAAUGCACAAUACACAGGACAUCAGGAGGCACCCUUAGAAUUGAAAGCCUUUUAAUCCCUUUAUCAGCCUUUUAAUUAUUUUAUUCCUUAGAAAGUAGUAGUCCCAUUCCAACUGUGACCUCAUGCUCAUUUUGCAAAAUUCCUGUUAACAAAUUUUUGGCACCAUUUUGAAAUUCCACAGAUCUAUUGAAAGAUUCCCAAAGAGUGCUAAAGGAAACCAGCAUUGUAUUAGGAUAUUUGGGAUAGCCACAUCUGACUAAUAUAGGCAUGUGACAUAUCUAUUCUAAUUUGGAUUCUUCUCAUUUUAACCUGCAGAUAAAUGAAUAUCCACUUGUUGCUUUCUAUUGAUGGUAUCCAACUAAAUACUACUCAAAGUGGAUCCACUGAAAUCAGUAGGCAUGGCUAAGUUCGUUUACUUCAGAAGCUCUACUUGGAGUUUUGUGGGCUUGAACUGAUGAGAGUUGUAGUCCAAAACAUCUGGAGAACACUAGGUUUGUGGAGGCUGGCCUAGGAACAGGAAGAAAAAUGAAAUGCCUGUUCAUCCAUGAAGCUCACUAAGUGAUCAUAAAAUUGUAGAGUUGGAAGGUACCCUGAGGAUCAUCUAGUCCAAUCCUCUGCAAUGCAGGAACAUGCAACUGUCCCACAGAGGGAUCAAACCUGCAACCUUGGCAUUAUCAGCUUAUCUUUAUAUCUCAGCCUAAUCUACCUCACAAGGUUGUUUAGAUGAUAAAAUGGGAGAUGGGACGCAUGUUUGCUGCCCUGUGCUCCUUGGAAGGUGGGUAGGAUAAGAGCCUAAUAAAUAAGCAGAUAAUCCAGAGUGCCAAGUUGUUGAGAUGGGCUCUGCAUUUUCUGUACACAGUGAGCCUCAAAGCACCACUAAAACUAAUGAAGAGCUUAAGGAACUGGCCCUCAAAACAAAGACACCAUUCAGUACUAUAAAAAGUGAGAUCUUUGGCUAAUGUUGUGACCUUGCAGCAAAGCCUUAAGGAUCAAUCCUAUAUCUACAGACACCCAGUGCAGUGGAUAGUGCUUCCUGAAGCAAUCUGAGAAACCUCUAAUGGACCUCAGGGCUCUUGCGUUCAAAAACUAACAAAUUGCCUCUUACGGUUUCCUCAUCCUUUUGUUAUCAGUAAACAUUAUGAUCAUGUGCACAUUGGCUGCUCCUGUGUGGUCUCUCCCCACUUCAUCUCUGCAGCACGUUGCCACAGAAAACACAAGCCAGUCAGCUCAUAAUCGAGAUAAUGUCUGCACUUUCCAGAAGGAGCUUGAGAAUUACAGGAGGGAGAGGGAAUGGCUUUUUCUUUCCCACUUUGUUUGGCCCAGAAGCCAAGAUACACACAGCAACAUCAGAAUGGUUUUUAUCUGCCUUGAUUUAUUGCAGUGUCUUUAUCUAUUGUGUAAUUCCUUAUCUCAUUUUCUCUCUCUUUUUUAAAGAUGGAAAGCUUUCAUGCUAUACCUCUGAGUGUCAAAAUGCUGGGAACAAACAGCAGGAGGAGGCCAUCACUUUCACGCUCUGCUCAUGACCUCACCAAAUACAUGUGGCUGGUUGUUGUUGUUGAAGCAGAAGACUAGACUGGAUUGAUGCAUCUUGCUCUCAGCCACCAAGGCAGUUCUUACGUUACUGUGCUUAUUGCAAAGCAUCCAGAUGCAAGCGUGAGAGUAGAGCUAAGCUCCUUCUUUUCCCUUCCUUUCCCCAACCCACAAUUCCUAUGAAACGUGCAACCCAAAUGACCAAGAUGAUCAAGCAGCUCCUCUAUGAGGAAAGGCUGCAGCAUUUGAGGCUUUUUAGUUAAAGAAAAGGCAAGAUGAAAGAAGUGCCUAAAAUUAUGCAUGCCAUGUAGAAAGUGGAGAGAGAAUAGUUUUUCUCCCCCUCUCACAGGUGUGCCAACUCUAGGGGGCCACGGUGUAUUUGGUCCCCUCAAUAUUUGUCUCAAGGGGAUCCGGCCACCUCAAUGUUGAGGCAGCCCAGCAUGCAGCCUACCGGAAGGCUGCCCCGGCCUGCGCAGUGUCAGGAGACAUGUGUUAUAUCAUGUGACAUGCCCGUGAUGUCAUGUGACGCUCAGCACACGCUGGGCCCCCUCAGUUUUGGGGGCAACCUGCUCUCCCAUAACACUAGAACUCAUGGGCAGCCAAUGAACCUGAACUGACAACAGAAAGUACUUCACACUGCACAUAGUUUAACUAUGGAAUCCACACCCACAAGAGGCAGUAAUGGCCACCAACUUAGAUAGCUUUAAAAUAAUUAGACAAAUUAAUGAAGGCUAUCAGUGGCUGGGAACCCUGAUGGCUAUGUUCUACUUCUGCUGUUGGAGGCAGAAUGCUUCUCAAUACUAGUUUCUGGAAACCACAGGGUGGGGUAGUGCUAACACACUUGGGUCCCUGCUUUGGGGCUUCCCAUAGGCAUCUGGUCAACCCCUGUGAGAACAGGGUGCUGGACUAGAUGGGCCAUUCUUAUGUUCUAAUGAAAGACUGCCCACAAAGGACCUGAGAUACGUGUAAGAUUAGCAAGCCAAACUUCCUUUGCACAAACAGAUGGUUCAUGGCAGAGCCAUCCCAAGCCAUUUUGGUGACUAUGGUGAAAACAAAUAAUCACCACCUCACACACUGUUUAUAAUAAAUAAAUAUCAGGCUAUUUUGUGUUUUUUAAUGGUGUCCAGAUACUCUUCCUCAUGGUCAAAGCAACCCUGGUUCAAGCCCG